UUAAACUCAAAAUUUAAUCAUUUUAAAAAUCUAAUCUCAAAUUUAAAAUCAAAACUAUAAACACUAAAUUUUAAAUCUGCACCAUAAAUCUAAUACCCUAAAUCUAUAAUUUAAACCCUACAUAUAAAGUCAAAAAUCUAUAAGAUACACAUAUUACUCCAAACCAUAUACUCCAUAUUUAAUUAAUAAUAUAACUUCAAUCUUUUCAUAAUAUAAUUUCAAUCUUUAAUUUAAACUCAAAGUUUAAUUAUUUUUAAAAAUCUUAUAUCAAAUUUAAAAUCUAAAUCUUAAAGCUACACCCUAAAUAUAAUGCCCUAAACCCCAAAUUCAAACCCUACAUACAAAAUCAUAAAUAUAAUUACUACAAAUAAUAUAAUUACUAAACUAAAACCUAUUCCUUAUAUAAACAAUAACUUUAUUAAUUUUAUUAUUAAAUAUUUAUCUUAACCACAAUUAUAUUUCACAAACCUCAAACCAUAUACUUUAAACUUAGGGCAACUACAACUAUAUAAACUAAUUAUAGUCAACAAUAGUAGUAUUAAUUAACAGAUUUUAAAAAUUAAAAUUUAAAAUAUUGAUUAUAAAAUCUUAAUACUUAUAUCAAACAUCAAUUUUUUUUAAAUUACAAACCAAAGUCAUCAAAAUAUUGAAAAUACAAAAGAUAAUAAAUAAAUAAAAAGGAAAAAAGAAAAAUCUAUUGGGUAACUAUUUAAAAAAAGAAAACUAUAGACCAAUAACUUCUCAUCACGCGGAUCACCUUUUGAACCGUAGGAUUCAAUUAAAUCAGUGGAUGAUAUUUUUUUUUUUCUUUUCUUCUUUUCUUUUUUUCUCUUUUUCUCUCACAGAUCUCUCUUUCUCUUCUCGGCCUCUGAUUCUUCCCUUCUCAUUUUUUUUUCUUCUCUUUCUCUCUCACAGAUCUCUCACUUUCUCUUCUCGACCUCUGAUUCUUCUCUUUCACUCUCUGUCUCUAUCUCUCAUCUUCUCACCAUCAACAUAUACGAAUCUGUCUUAACCCAUCAGCUCAAACGAAAUCUGUCUCCUCUAUUUCCGAAUUUGUGAAACAUGAGAUUUUAACAAGGAGACAGAAGAUUUGGCAGAGGAGUAGGAGACGCGACGAGCAGAUCGAACGGUGGCUCUAGCACCAGAUUGAAUCCUUGCUUCAGCAAUAGCUUCUAGAGCCAUUUGAGGCGUCGGUGUAGAAGAAGUGGUGUGUGACUGAAAGAUGGUGACGUUGGAGCGUUGUGGUGAUGGAGACGACGGAGGCGCAACUGAUAUGCUGCGGUUUAUGUUUAGGUUUUGUUAAUUAGGUUUUGGUUAAUUAGGUUUGGUAUAAUGUGUUUUAAUUAAUUUUUGGUUUAAUGUGUUCUGGUGUAUUUGAUUUUUUAAUUCUGGUUUAGUGUUACAUUUAUUUGUAAUCUAAGCUUAAUUAAUAAAUAAAUUUUUUUAUUUUUAA